rnacentral:rRNA from 1 species
UAAUACGUAGGUGGCAAGCGUUGUCCGGAAUUAUUGGGCGUAAAGCGCGCGCAGGCGGAUCUGCCAGUCUGUCUUAAAAGUUCGGGGCUUAACCCCGUGAUGGGAUGGAAACUACAGAUCUAGAGUAUCGGAGAGGAAAGUGGAAUUCCUAGUGUAGCGGUGAAAUGCGUAGAUAUUAGGAAGAACACCAGUGGCGAAGGCGACUUUCUGGACGAAAACUGACGCUGAGGCGCGAAAGCCAGGGGAGCGAACGGGAUUAGAUACCCCGGUAGUCCUGGCCGUAAACGAUGGGUACUAGGUGUAGGAGGUAUCGACCCCUUCUGUGCCGCAGUUAACGCAAUAAGUACCCCGCCUGGGGAGUACGACCGCAAGGUUGAAACUUAAAUGAAUUGACGG